GCCGCCGCAGCGAAGAGGCCAUGUUGUGUGGUGUGUGGGGCGGGGGGAGGAGGAGGAGGGAGUAAAGCCUAGAGAGGAGACGGGAGAGAGACACCACACACACGGCACAAGAUGGCCGGAGAGGCAGCAGCACCCCGAGCUGUCAGGCGUUCCGCCGCGGCCGCGAGGCCCGCCGGCCGGCGGGGAGCUACGCCCGGACGGCCAGCAGGCCCGCGGGAGUGGGGCUGCCGCGGCUGAGGCGAGGCGGGCCGCGCGCGUCGGCGUCACAGCCCGCGGCAGAGGCGCCCAGGGCGGCCGGGCCCACGACGCCGAAAGCGCCGCUGCGGUUGCCGCCUCGGAGGCUCCCCCGGGCCCCGGCGGCUGGACCCGGCGCGGGCGGGAGGCUCGGGCGGGCGGUCCGGCCCGGGACUCGGGUUUGGGCGACCAGGAGGUGCCGGUGGCCGCGCUCGGACCCGGUUCUCCAACGGAGGAGCUUUUUAACCUCUUUCCGGUGAGGUGGGAACUCAUCUUCAUGAUCGAAUUUAAAAGAACAAUGGAACCCUGACUACGUUUCAACAAAAAUAAAACUUGUUUUUUUCCCUCCUAUUGGGUGUUGGCUUUUAACUCUUUCAAAGCCGAUUUUGAAACGGCUGCAGUGAUACAUGCGAAGGUACUUGCUGCUUAUUAAACCUUUAUGACGUUAAGGUUGUCUUUGAAAAAUGCAAGUUGGAGGAGUGCUUCUGGUAUUUCAGA
rnacentral:lncRNA from 10 species